rnacentral:rRNA from 1 species
UACGGAGGGUGCAAGCGUUAUCCGGAAUCACUGGGUUUAAAGGGUGCGUAGGCGGUGGCGUAAGUCAGUUGUGAAAUUCCCCGGCUUAACCGACGGGACUGCGAUUGAUACUGCGUUACUUGAAUCAGGUUGAGGUAGGCGGAAUGUGACAUGUAGCGGUGAAAUGCUUAGAUAUGUCAUAGAACACCGAUUGCGAAGGCAGCUUGCUGGACCUGUAUUGACGCUGAGGCACGAAAGCGUGGGGAGCAAACAGG